rnacentral:rRNA from 1 species
AGUGAACGCUGGCGGUAGGCCUAACACAUGCAGGUCGAACGGCAGCACAGUAAGAGCUUGCUCUUACGGGUGGCGAGUGGCGGACGGGUGAGGAAUACAUCGGAAUCUACUUUUUCGUGGGGGAUAACGUAGGGAAACUUACGCUAAUACCGCAUACGACCUACGGGUGAAAGCAGGGGAUCUUCGGACCUUGCGCGAUUGAAUGAGCCGAUGUCGGAUUAGCUAGUUGGCGGGGUAAAGGCCCACCAAGGCGACGAUCCGUAGCUGGUCUGAGAGGAUGAUCAGCCACACUGGAACUGAGACACGGUCCAGACUCCUACGGGAGGCAGCAGUGGGGAAUAUUGGACAAUGGGCGCAAGCCUGAACCAGCCAUACCGCGUGGGUGAAGAAGGCCUUCGGGUUGUAAAGCCCUUUUGUUGGGAAAGAAAAGCAGCAGGUUAAUACCCCGCUGUUCUGACGGUACCCAAAGAAUAAGCACCGGCUAACUUCGUG